CAUUAGCAUUGCAUAUAAAUUUGGGAGACUAAUUAUGAGAUGUAAUGAACAGGAAAGAAGACAGUUUGAGUUUGUGAUUAUUGCUAAUAUUAUUAUUGUUUGCAGAUUUGUUUGCACAUCUGUAUUAUCUAAUGAAACCCAACGAAGAAAAUACUGUUUAGAAAAGGAAUCACUGGAUGUGGCAGGAAAGGGCCCUGGAAAGGCUCAGCAAUGUCUGCAGAGAAGUUAACCUAAGCAAAGAUUGCAACAGCUGCCUUUAUAUUCCCAUGGAUGUACCGUAAGAAGUAAAUCAUCUCCUAUCACUUCCCUGGAAGGGCCAAAUGUGAGUUCCUGAGUCACUCAUUCUGGAUGCAGUGAGGUUUUCUGGUGUAGAAUAUACGCACUUGGGCCUCAUUUCAUCUACUCUAUCGAAUUAAGCUACUGGAUUGCAAAUAGGAAUAAAGCAAGCCAGUGCCACAGGAAAAAGGAGUAGCAAACUCCCUUUUCUCCACUCCUUGAGUUCCUCUGAAAUGACACUAGCAAAAACUGCGUCAAAUUUGUGGCUAUUGAUAUGCAGAUGUUACAGUCUUUCACUGCGUCGGGACAAAGAUAACUGCAUUACCAUGUCUAUUUUGCACAUAAAUAUGUAUAUUAUCGCAGUGCCCCCGCUUCCUGCAAAAUGAUAGCAAUUGAUGUUCAAACAGGACAGGCAACGCUAGACAAAACCCACAAGUAAAUUACACUCAUGGAAUAUUCUCUUCCUUUUCCUUGUUUCUGAUUUUGCUUUUCCUGUCCUAUACUCAAAGCUCAGGGCAAGCAGGAUCCCUCUGGCUAUAUGCGUGGGCAGCCAAUCUGGUUUUCUCCCAAGGUGACAGCUGCUUGCUUUUCAUUAAGGAAUAUGACUGCCCUCACCUGGUGAGAACAACGCUUGGAAAAUUGCCAUUCCAGUGCUAUUCUCAAACGCAAUCAUCUCUGUCAAAUGCAACAGCUGAGUGAUGCCUGCCAAGCAAAGGGUCACCCCCUCCACAGGAGCACAGUAUGUUCUUGAAAUGAGCUCCUGCUGUCUGACUUAAAAUAUAAACGUGAUAGAUGUGAUAUUAUUAGAUUAAAUGAAAGGCUGUUCUGACAUAAUUCUAUUGUUAUAGCCUUUCUAUGCAAAUUUGCUCGAUCUCUUACACUCAGUGAGAUAUUAAUUUCAAAUAGAAAUCUCAGGGUCUAGUUCAGGCAAGUAGAAUAAAUAUUUGAACAGUUGAAGAAAAAAUGCCAAAAUUCUCA
rnacentral:lncRNA from 1 species